rnacentral:tRNA from 1 species
GGCCUCGUGGCCUAGAAGCAAGGCAUUGGUUUCCGGCACCAAAGAUCGCGGGUGCAAAUCCUGUCGGGGUCG